ACGAUGCGUCGCCCAUCCGCUUCCGGGUCAGGUGUUUUCCCCCGGCCUUGUGAGGAAGGGGCCUCUUUUGUGUCGGGAGCGUAAGCGGCGGCGGCGGCGGCGGGUGUUUGGAGGCGGGGCUCCGUCAUGGAGAAGAUCCUGGAGGGGCUGGUGAGCUCCUCGCACCCGCUGCCGCUGAAGAAGGCCAUCGUGAGGCGGGUGGUAGAGUCGGCCGAGGCCCCUUUGAGCGGCGCCCAGUGCCGGGCCAUGUUCGAGCUCAGCUCCCGGCUCAUCCUGCAGGGCACCGACUCCUUCCAGCGCCAGGUCGGGCGCCAGGUGCUGGAGGCCUACGCGCGGCACCACCGCGACGCCUUCGAGGCCUUCUUCGGGCGCGGGCUGGUGCUCUCCUUGCUCCGAGGCGGAGGCGGCGGAGGGCCGACGAUGACAGCGGCAGCCCUGGACCCUUCCGUCCUGGACUACAUCCAAGGCGGGCUGCGGCUCCUGAUCAGCUGCCCCGCGGUGCUGGAGCUCUUCGCCUUGCUCCAGGAGGAGGCGCUGCGGGUGAUGGGCGAGCGGCCCCCGGCCCCUCUCUGCGCCCGCCUCUGCCAGCUCCUGGCCGACUUCCCCCAGUGCCUCCCCCGCGGGAGGAAGCCCGCCCUCGCCUUCUGCCAGCAGCUGGUCCGCAGCAUCGCCCACUUCCAGACCCAGGGCACCCGAGAGGCAGAGCUGCGCCUCUACGUCUCCCAGGUCACCCAAGUCAGCGGGCUCCUCAGGAGCGUCUGGAAGGCCGAGCCAGACACCCUCCUGCCCUCCCUGCAGGAGCUCUUCGCCAUCAUCUCCUCCACCGAUACUUCUUUUGAACCUUCAGUUGCCUUGGCAAGUCUUGUGCAACAUAUCCCAUUGCAAAUGAUCACCGUGCUUAUUGGAAGCCUUACCACAGAUCCAAAUGUAAAAGAUGCAAGUAUGACACAAGCUUUGUGCAGAAUGAUUGAAUGGCUGUCCUGGCCAUUAGCUCAGCAUGUGGAAACCUGGGUGAUAGCACUGUUGAAAGGACUGGCUGCAGUCCAGAAGUUUACUAUCCUUAUUGAUGUCACUUUGCUUAAGAUUGAACUGGUUUUUAAUCGACUUUGGUUUCCUCUUGUGGGACCUGGUGCUUUGGCUGUCCUUUCUCACAUGUUGCUUAGUUUUCAGCAUUCUCCAGAGGCUUUUCACUUGAUUGUACCACAUGUAGUGAAACUGGUAAAAUCCUUCAAAAGCAAUAGCCUGCCUUCUAGUACAACGUUCUUGGGACAGCUCAGUGAGUUAAUACACUGUAUGAUGUAUCAUUAUUCAGGAUUCCCGGAACUCUAUGAACCUAUUCUGGAAGCUAUCAAGGAUCUUCCUAAACCCAGUGAAGAAAAAAUUAAGCUCAUACUGAAUCGGAGUGCCUGGACCUCUCAGUCCAGUUCCUUGCAGUCUUGUUUGUCGGGAUUUUCUGGAAAAUCUGAAACUGGAAAGACAGGUCUAAUUAACUUGGGAAAUACAUGCUAUAUGAACAGUGUAAUUCAGGCACUAUUUAUGGCCACAGAUUUUAGGAGACAUGUAUUAUCAUUAAAUCUAAAUGGGUGCAAUUCACUAAUGAGAAAGUUGCAGCAUCUCUUUGCAUUUUUGGCUCAUACUCAGAGGGAAGCAUAUGCUCCUCGAAUUUUCUUUGACGCUUCUAGACCGCCCUGGUUUGCUCCUAGAUCUCAGCAGGACUGCUCUGAAUAUCUCAGAUUCCUGUUAGACAGGCUGCAUGAAGAAGAAAGGGCUUUGAAAGCUCUGUCUUCAUCAAAGCUUCCAGGAGAUAUGAAUGAAGAGUCACUAGUACAGGAUGUAUCCAGUAAGACCCAGCUGUUUACCAAACCAUCUUGCACAGCAAAAGAGGAGAGAACCUUAAUAGAGAAAAUGUUUCGAGGGAAACUACAAACAAGCAUAUGCUGUUCAAACUGCAAAAGUACUUCUCACAAAGAAGAACCCUUUACAGAUCUCUCACUUGCUUUCUGUCCCCCAGUAUUCUUAGAAAAUAUUGAACCAUCAAGUGUGGACAAUUUGUCUGAAGGAAAAGAUACCAGCAUGGAACAAGUCAAUAUUGGGUCAUUCAGUCCUGUAGCAGAAACAGCAUCUGAUAUUCUAGCAGUUGGUGACUGCUGUGAAAUGGUUACAAAUGAUGGAACAGUGAAGGACCUCCCCAUUGAUUCAAACUGUGAAAAUGUUACAGAUUCAGUUACAUUCAAGACUGAACACAAGGAUAGUUUGCGGAAACAUGUCACUGAGGUUACCCCCUCAGUUACUGACUUGCUGAAUUAUUUUCUGGCAACUGAGGUUCUGAAAGGGGAUAACAAAUAUUACUGUGAAAAAUGUGCCUCUCUACAGAAUGCAGAAAAGACUAUGCAAAUAGUGGAGGAGCCAGAAUACCUCAUUCUCACUCUCUUACGAUUUUCAUAUGACCCCAAGUGUCAUAUUAGGCGUAAAAUCUUAGACAAUGUGUCACUUCCACUUGUUCUGGAGUUACCUGUCAAAAGAAUUGUCUCUUCUUUAAGUCCAGUAUCAGGUGUGUGGUCUAUGGGUGUUGAGUUUUCUGACACUGGUGAGAAUCUAGCUAAAAAACUUAAGCCUUCUGGUGCUGAAGAAGUGGGUUGCUCUCAACUAGUCCCUUAUGUAUUAAGUUCUGUUGUGGUGCACUCUGGCAUAUCUUCAGAAAGUGGACAUUAUUAUUCCUAUGCCCGAAAUGUUUCCAGUUCAGGGUCUUCAUUGGGAUCAUUUGAUCAGUCUCAAAGUCUGGCUUUAACUUAUCCACAGAGUAAUUUCAUGGCUGGAGAGGCACCUGUUGCAGCUGUUGAGAAGGAACUGGGAGAGAAUGAGGUGUCAAAGGAGUGGUUUUUAUUUAAUGACAGCAGAGUGACAUUUACCUCAUUUCACUCAGUCCAGAAAAUAACAAGCAGAUUCCCCAAGGACACUGCUUAUGUGCUGUUUUACAAAAAACAGAACAGUGCUAGUGCUCUUAGUGCUACAUCAGCCAAUGGGCUCUGCAUCAAUGGAGACCCUCCCCUGCAGAAAGAUCUUAUGGAUGCUAUUACGAAAGACAAUAAGCUGUAUUUGCAGGAGCAAGAGCUUAGUGCUCGGACACAAGCCCUACAAGCAGCUGCAGCUUCAUGCUCCUUUCGGCCAAAUGGAUUUGAUGACAAUGACCCCCCAGGAAGCUGUGGGCCAACUGGUGGUGGUGGUGGAGGAGGAUUUAGUACUAUUGGCAGGCUAGUUUUUUGAGGGAGAGAGCACCCAAUACAUUGGUCCCUAAACAGCUCCCACUACUGCUUAAGACUGUUAUCACUGAACUGUAUUAAAUAAUGUACCAAGCUUUUUUCAAGAUGUGAUCUUUGGUCUAAAGAAAACUUUUUUAAUUUGAAAUAAAUACUUCCAUCAUGGAGAAAUCUACCUCUUAAAUUCAGUUGUUUUUAUGGAAAGAUAUUCUUGGCCAAAAGAGGAAUUAGAAGAUUUUUAUGGCACUAGGUUAACUAAUAAAAGCACUUACAAUAUGUAAUCCAAGUACUUUGAUGAAAGAAUACUUAUUAAUUGAAAACAGAUGAUUACACAAACCCAACAGUGUUUGUGACAGGUUUAAUUUUUUUUUUCAUAGAGCUAUAAAUCCUCAAAAACACUAGAGACGGUAACUAAAGAGUAAAUGAAAAUCCAAACUGUUAACAGUGUAAUCCAGGAUAAGACAUCUUCCAAUUACAGUUGUCUUACUCAUAUGUGGAGAUAAGCAGUGAAGAAGUUGUUAAAAACAGAAGAGCAGCCAUGCUGCAGACUGACUACCUGUCUAAUUGAGGAUCCUGUUUUGUACAAGUGAAAGUCAACAAGCAGGACAGAAGACAAUGACUCUUUUGGGUUCUUGUUUUGAAGGCCCAAGUUAAAGAAUAUCUUACUAAUGUUUCAAAUAAUUUUAAAGAACUUAAUAUUUGAGUAAAAGGCUAAAAAUGAGGAUGAAGUCUGAGUACAAAUAAUGGCAAUUUAACAUUUAAUAAUGCAAUAUGUGUUUACUUUGUGUGUGUUCGUUUUAAAAAUGUGGCAGAUUCUUCAGACAGUAUUGGUGCUAUGAAAGAGGUUUCAGUGUCCUUUACUUGGAGUCUUCCCCUUCUUGGCUCUUGUAUAAUAAAGUGCCAUACAUGAGUGCACUAUACACAGCUCACGCUGAAGCUGCACAUCAAAACAUGGUUGCACAUGCCAGUGGCACAUGCACCAUAUGGUGCUGUAAGCAUGUGCCCCCAUUGUUUUCAGUGGGGCGUGAACAUAAUGCGGAAUUCCCCCUUACACGGAGGGAUCCAGAACGGAUCCCCCACGCAAGGAAAGGGCCCACUUUUUGCAGUAAAUGUUUAUAAAUAUCUCUUUAAACGAGAGAUUACCUCACUUUAAAAGAGGUAACAAAUUAAUGACAAGUACCAAGAAAUACCACUUUAUAUUUGUUGUAUCCUAUAAUUAAAAUGGUGCUGAACCAGCAUAAUUGUUGUGUGAAUACAGGCUGAACUUUUAAAAGUGAAAACACUUGCUGUUUCUUGCAGCCAGCCUCUGUUAAGGCUUUGAGAUGAAUACACCAACUGUUUCCUUUUUUCCUCUGAUACUUGAUAAAGUAUUCUGUUCUGCUAGAACACACUUAAGUCUCAUGCUAUUGUAAGUCAGGACCUGCUAGGUGGAGACAAGCUAAACCCCUUCCCUCACUCUGGUCCUGUGCUGAUGUAUUAGAUUAUAACUCCCAUCACGUCUUUUUACCUCCAUCUCUAUCCCCUGUAAAAAGUUGAAGGCAGCAAGUUGGGGCAAACUGCUGUAGGCAUUUUCUUGAUGUCACAAAAUGAGUGUUUAUGUUGCUGUGCCUUUCCAUAAUGGGAAACAGCAAUAUCCAGUCCCCAGAUUUCAAUGAGAAGGGGAGUGACCUCAAUAUCCGUUAAGAUAUGAAAAAUGCCCACAUUUUCAGUUUCCUAACAGACAUGAUAGGUAGGGUUGGUGGUAGGAUGAGUGAAACUAAUUUUAUAUCUAGAAUUACAACCCAAAUUGCACAAAGACAUUUCCUGGCAAGUGAUAACAAUCUAGAUGUUUGCUAGCUUCUGGCACUUGACAAAUUCAUGGAUGGGAUGGACUAGAUUAUAAAACAAUAAAAAGACAUCAUGGUUGUUUUUUAA